GACCUCCGCUCAGUUGGUUAGAGCGUCGUGCUAAUACUCCAUAACGCGAAGGUCUUGGGUUCGAUCCGCACGUUGGCCA
rnacentral:tRNA from 1 species